GCCUUAUUAGCUCAGUAGAAGAGCACUGGUCUUGUAAACCAGGGGUUUAGGGUUCAAAUCCCUCAUGAGGCU